rnacentral:miRNA from 1 species
GUGAAAUCUGGGUCUCUCUCUCUCUCUCUCUCUCUCUCUCUCUCUCUCUCUCUCUCUGUGUGUGUAUGUGUGUAAGUGAGAGAGGGAGAGAGGGAGAGGGGGAGAGAGAGAGAUCAGCUGUAAG